CCCUUCGAUGUUCUGGGCCGCACGCGCGCUACACUGAUGCAUUCAACGAGUCUAAAACCUGGUCUGAUAGGGCUGGGUAAUCUUUUGAAUGUGCAUCGUGAUUGGGAUAGAUGAUUGCAAUUCUUCAUCUUCAACGAGGAAUGCCUAGUAAACGCAAGUCAUCAGCUUGCAUUGAUUACGUCCCUGCCCUUUGUACACACCGCCCGUCGCUCCUACCGAUUGAAUGUUCCGAUGAAUACCAUGGACUGAGAGUAUGAAUGGGUUCGCCUAUUUCUGCUUCUCGGGAAGUGGAGUAAAUCUUAACAUUUAGAGGAAGGAGAAGUCGUAACA
rnacentral:rRNA from 1 species